rnacentral:misc_RNA from 1 species
GAUGAAGAACGUAGUGAAAUGCGAUAAGUAAUGUGAAUUGCAGAAUUCAGUGAAUCAUCGAAUCUUUGAACGCACAUUGCGCCCGCCAGUAUUCUGGCGGGCAUGCCUAUUCGAGCGUCAUUUCAACCAUCAAGCCCCAGGCUUGUGUUGGGGACCUGCGGCUGCCGCAGGCCCUGAAAACCAGUGGCGGGCUCGCUGUCACACCGGGCGUAGUAGAUUUUAUCUCGCUCAGGGCGUGCUGCGGGUUCCGGCCGUUAAAAAGCCUUUUUUACCCAAGGUUGACCUCGGAUCAGGUAGGAAGACCCGCUGAACUUAAGCAUAUCAAUAAGCGGAGGA